AGCGGAGGAAAAGAAACCAACAGGGAUUGCCCUAGUAAUGGCGAAUGAACAGGCAAAAGCUCAGAUUUGAAACCCUCGGGAUUGUAGUCUGCAGGCCUGGAUUUGGCACGCUGACCAAGUCUCCUGGAACGGAGCGCCAUGGAGGGUGACAGCCCCGUAGCAGCAGCCGCCGCAAAUCCGGGCCCACGAGUCGAGUUGUUUGGGAAUGCAGCUCUAAGUGGGUGGUAUGCUCCAUCUAAAGCUAAAUAUUGGCGAGAGACCGAUAGCGAACAAGUACUGUGAAGGAAAGAUGAAAAGAACUUUGAAAAGAGAGUGAAAAAGUACGUGAAAUUGUUGAAAUGGAAGGCAAUGAGGUGCGAUUGAGCCGGACGUUUGCGGGCAGGACAAAAGCGCAGGCCGCCUCGGCAUUGCCUGCGUGCAUGCUGCCUCGCGGACCACCGGCUCUAACAACGCCUUAUUGCACCCGUCUUGAACCACGGACCAACUUUCCGCUGGAUACAUCCUGGGGGACUGAGGAACGCAGCGUGCUUUUAGCGGGGGUUUCGACCUCUUCACGCUUAGGAUGCUGGUGUAAUGGCUUUAAACGACCCGUCUUGAACCACGGACC
rnacentral:rRNA from 1 species